UACGUAGGUGGCAAGCGUUGUCCGGAAUUAUUGGGCGUAAAGCGCGCGCAGGCGGUCUUUUAAGUCUGAUGUGAAAGCCCCCGGCUCAACCGGGGAGGGUCAUUGGAAACUGGGAGACUUGAGUGCAGAAGAGAAGAGUGGAAUUCCACGUGUAGCGGUGAAAUGCGUAGAGAUGUGGAGGAACACCAGUGGCGAAGGCGACUUUCUGGCCUAUAACUGACGCUGAGGCGCGAAAGCGUGGGGAGCAAACAGG
rnacentral:rRNA from 1 species